UACGAAGGGGGCUCGCGUUGCUCGGAAUUACUGGGCGUAAAGGGCGCGUAGGCGGAUGGUACAGUCAGAUGUGAAAUUCCCGGGCUUAACCUGGGGGCUGCAUUUGAUACGUAUUGUCUUGAGUUCGGAAGAGGGUCGUGGAAUUUCCAGUGUAGAGGUGAAAUUCGUAGAUAUUGGAAAGAACACCGGUGGCGAAGGCGGCGACCUGGUCCGACACUGACGCUGAGGCGCGAAAGCGUGGGGAGCAAACAGG
rnacentral:rRNA from 1 species